CCCAGGGCUGACACCCUGGGCUACCAGAUUCCGCUCCGUUGGGGCU
rfam:Bacterium TASB270 DNA, scaffold: TASB270_scaffold_8.